UAUGUGUUCGGCCAUGUAUCCACAAGACUGUGGGGAAAGAUGUGAAGGUACACUAAACAUGGAUUUGAAUAUUCCAGAGCAAAAGCAAGACAAGCAGAAGAGGUGGUCUUGCUCUUGUAGAUCGAGACAGCAGACACUACAACAUUGCUUGACAUCUCUGAAAGACUGGUAGCAUGUGGAUACACUGGACCGCUAACAUCUGACAGAAAGGAGGACAUUGUCAGUGCUGUUGUCCUCUGUAUGAAUCCUUCCAAUGCUGCCGCAGAUGUGCAAAGGAUUGGAACUCCAUGGCCUUCAUGAAAUUAUGAAAAAAGCCGUUAUUGUUCCUGGACAUUUUGAAAAAGUAAGUAUUGUUACUUGCAUUUUUGCAUAUGUUUUUGAGUGGUGCACAAUAAAAGGUUGUUCUUUUUAAUUAGCA
ensembl:lncRNA